GCAAGGCGGUGCUAUACAUGCAGUCGUGCGCGGUAACCGAGACAUGAAGCCCUUCGGGGUGGACGCUCGUGGAACGAGCGGCGGACGGGUGAGUAACACGUGGGCAACCUACCUGUGAGACGGGGAUAACUCCGGGAAACCGGGGCUAAUACCGGAUAACGCAUCGAACCGCAUGGUUCGAUGAUCAAAGAUGGCUUCUAGCUAUCACUCACAGAUGGGCCCGCGGCGCAUUAGUUAGUUGGUGAGGUAACGGCUCACCAAGGCGACGAUGCGUAGCCGACCUGAGAGGGUGAUCGGCCACACUGGGACUGAGACACGGCCCAGACUCCUACGGGAGGCAGCAGUAGGGAAUCAUCCGCAAUGGACGCAAGUCUGACGGUGCAACGCCGCGUGAGCGAUGAAGGUUCUUCGGAUCAUAAAGCUCUGUUGUGAGGGAAGAACAAGUGCCGUUCGAAUAGGGCGGCACCUUGACGGUACCUCACCAGAAAGCCCCGGCUAACUACGUGCCAGCAGCCGCGGUAAUACGUAGGGGGCAAGCGUUGUCCGGAAUUAUUGGGCGUAAAGCGCGCGCAGGCGGUUCCUUAAGUCUGAUGUGAAAGGCCACAGCUCAACUGUGGAGGGCCAUUGGAAACUGGGGAACUUGAGGACAGAAGAGGAGAGCGGAAUUCCACGUGUAGCGGUGAAAUGCGUAGAUAUGUGGAGGAACACCAG
rnacentral:rRNA from 1 species